AGGAAGCAGCCGGGAAUGUAGUGAAAAUGCAGAUUCUGAUUCAGUCGAUCUGGGAUGGAGCCUGAAAUUCUCCAUUUCUAACAGGCUUUCAGCUCCCUAACAGCAUGUCUGUAAUGUUGGUUAUGUUGCUGCUCAUGAUGCUUCGUCAUCCAUCCACACUUCCAUCCAGUGACUCUCUUAAAGGAGCCGAAACAGUCAAACCAAGCAUAUUAGGAAAUUUUGGAUGGUAUGGAAGUUGCUGAGACAGGAACAAUGCAGUGGUCUGAUAGAUUAGAUUUAAAGGUUGUCCAGCUGCUGAAACAACAGUUGC